GACGAACGCUGGCGGCGUGCUUAACACAUGCAAGUCGAACGGGCCUGUCUUCUUUUUUGGGGGUGGGUUGAGUGGCGACCGGGUGAGUAUCACGUGAGUAACCUGCCCUUCGGUCCUGGAUAACCGCUUGAAAGGGCGGCUAAUACGGGGUGGUCCGGUUGGUCCGCAUGGGCUGGUCGGGAUAGAUUCACUGUUUUUGGUGUUUCGGCGGGGGAUGGGCUCGCGGCCUAUCAGCUUGUUGGUGGGGUGAUGGCCUACCAAGGCGGUGACGGGUAGCCGGCCUGAGGGGGUGGGCGGCCACAAUGGGACGGCGGUACGGCCCAGACUCCUGCGGGGGGCAGCAGUGGGGGGGAUUGCACAAUGGGCGGCAGCCUGAUGCAGCGACGUCGCGUGAGGGAUGGAGGCCUUCGGGUUGUGAACCUCUGUUUCCGGUGGUGAAGGCCCUGUCCGUGUGGUGGGGUUGACGGUAGCCGGGGAUGAAGCGCCGGCUAACUACGUG
rnacentral:rRNA from 1 species